AUUGAACGCUGGCGGCGUGCUUAACACAUGCAAGUCGAACGAGAACGGGUUAUAGCUUGCUAUAAUUGUCAGCUAAGUGGCGCACGGGUGAGUAAUGUAUAGGUAAUAUGCCUCUUACUAAGGGAUAACAAAUGGAAACGUUUGCUAAUACCUUAUACUCCUUAUUAACAGAAGUUAAUAAGGGAAAGAUUUAUUGGUAAGAGAUUAGCCUGUAUUGUAUCAGCUAGUUGGUGGGGUAAUGGCUUACCAAGACUAUGACACAUAACUGGUUUGAGAGGAUGAUCAGUCACACUGGAACUGAGACACGGUCCAGACUCCUACGGGAGGCAGCAGUGGGGAAUAUUGCACAAUGGACGAAAGUCUGAUGCAGCAACGCCGCGUGGAGGAUGACACAUUUCGGUGCGUAAACUCCUUUUAUAUGAGAAGAUAAUGACGGUAUUAUAUGAAUAAGCACCGGCUAACUCCGUGCCAGCCGCCGCCGUAA
rnacentral:rRNA from 1 species